CACGUAGGGCGCAAGCGUUGUCCGGAAUUAUUGGGCGUAAAGAGCUCGUAGGUGGUUUGUUACGUCUGCUGUGAAAACCUAGGGCUUAACCCUGGGCUUGCAGUGGAUACGGGCAGACUAGAGGUAGGUAGGGGAGAAUGGAAUUCCUGGUGUAGCGGUGAAAUGCGCAGAUAUCAGGAGGAACACCGGUGGCGAAGGCGGUUCUCUGGGCCUUACCUGACACUGAGGAGCGAAAGCGUGGGGAGCGAACCGG
rnacentral:rRNA from 1 species